UACAGGCUUAACACAUGCAAGUCGAGGGUAGCAGGUAGCAAUACCGCUGACGACCGGCGCACGGGUGAGUAACACGUAUCCAACCUUCCCAUAACUCAGGAAUAGCCUUUCGAAAGAAAGAUUAAUACCUGAUAGCACUUAAGAAAGGCAUCUUUUUUAAGUUAAAGAUUUAUCGGUUAUGGAUGGGGAUGCGUUCCAUUAGAUAGUUGGUGAGGUAACGGCUCACCAAGUCUUCGAUGGAUAGGGGUUCUGAGAGGAAGGUCCCCCACAUUGGUACUGAGACACGGACCAAACUCCUACGGGAGGCAGCAGUGAGGAAUAUUGGUCAAUGGGCGAGAGCCUGAACCAGCCAAGUAGCGUGAAAGGAUGAAGGUCCUAUGGAUUGUAAACUUCUUUUAUAGUAGAAUAAAGUGAGCCACGUGUGGUUUUUUGUAUGUAUACUAUGAAUAAGGAUCGGCUAACUCCGUGCCAGCCGCGGC
rnacentral:rRNA from 1 species